AGAAUCAACGCUGGCGGCGUGCCUAACACACGCAAGUCGAACGCGAAAGUCCCGAAAGGGAUGAGUAGAGUGGCAAACGGGUGAGUAACACGUGGGUGACCUGCCUUCGAGCGGGGGAUAACGGUCCCGAAAGGGACGCUAAUACCGCAUGACAUCCUGCCUUUGAAGAGGUGGAGAUCAAAGCUGGGGAUCGCAAGACCUAGCACUCGAAGAGGGGCCCGCGCCUGAUUAGCUAGUUGGUGGGGUAACGGCUCACCAAGGCAACGAUCAGUA
rnacentral:rRNA from 1 species